rnacentral:rRNA from 1 species
CGGAGCACAUCCGAAUAUGCACAAUGGGCGCAAGCCUGAUGCAGCGACGCCGCGUGAGGCAUGACGGCCUUCGGGUUGUAAACCUCUAUCGCCAGGACGAAACGCAAGUGACGGUACCUGGAGAAGAAGGACCGGCCAACUACGUGCCAGCAGCCGCGGUAAUACGUAGGGUUCGAGCGUUGUCCGGAAUUACUGGACGUAAAGAGCUCGUAGGUGCUUUGUCGCGUUGUUCGUGAAAACUCACAGCACAACUGUGGGCGUGCGGGCGAUACGGGCAGACUGGAGUACUGCAGGGGAGACUCGAAUUCCUGGUGUAGCGGUGGAAUGCGCCGAUAUCAGGAGGCACACCGGUGCCGAAGGCGUGUCU